rnacentral:pre_miRNA from 1 species
AUGUGUUUGUGUGUGGAUGGUGUUCAGCACCAAGGACGUGUGCUUGUGUGUGGAUGGUGUUCAGCACCAAGGACAGACGUGUUCGGCU